rnacentral:rRNA from 1 species
GAGGGAAAGGUGAAAAGCAACCAUGAAAAAUGGGUUGAAACAGUAGUGAAAGCGCUACCGGGAUAAGGGCUAUCGGGUGCUGGGGCUCUUUGGGUGUGCUUUAGUGCUACCCUCCGAGACGGCCCGCGAGGGUUGAUGUUGGGGYGAUAGACGCACUGCAGGAAUUCAGCUGCCUUCGGGCAGUGUUGUAGCCUGCAGUUGCUGAUCCUCCUGCGACCUUGUGUGAUUGCGGGUCUUGCGACCGUUAGCCGCCCGUCUUGAAACACGGACCAAGGAGUGCACCUUGCAUGCGAGUCGAAGGGAUUUGAAACCUGGAGGCGUAGCGAACGCGACGAUGGGGAAUGUCCUUGUGGCAGACACCCGCACCCGCCUUGUGCGAGGUAGAGCAUGUACGGUGCGACCCGAAAGAUGGUGAACUAUGCCCGGGUAAGGUGAAGCCAGUGGAAACGCUGGUGGAGGCCUGUAGCGAUUCUGACGUGCAAAUCGAUCGCGUAACCUGGGUAUAGGGGCGAAAGACCUAUCGAACCGUCUAAUGGCUGGUUCCCUCCGAAGUUUCCCUCAGGAUAGCUGCGUUCCUAAUGAGAGUCAGUUGCAUUGCGGUAGAGCGAAUGAUUAGGUGUCUCGGGGCCAUCAUGGCCUCGGCUCAUUCUCAAACUCCGAAUUGCGUGCGAUCCCGUUGCUGUGACCUUGUGGCACGCCGGGAAAAUGACAGGACGCAAGUGGGCUGGUUUUGGUAAGCA